GGAAUUUUGGACAAUGGGCGCAAGCCUGAUCCAGCAAUGCCGCGUGAGUGAAGAAGGCCUUCGGGUUGUAAAGCUCUUUUGUCAGGGAAGAAACGGGUCUUUCUAAUACAGAGGCCUAAUGACGGUACCUGAAGAAUAAGCACCGGCUAACUACGUGCCAGCAGCCGCGGUAAUACGUAGGGUGCAAGCGUUAAUCGGAAUUACUGGGCGUAAAGCGUGCGCAGGCGGUUUUGUAAGUCUGUUGUGAAAUCCCCGGGCUCAACCUGGGAAUGGCAAUGGAGACUGCAAGGCUAGAGUUUGGCAGAGGGGGGUAGAAUUCCACGUGUAGCAGUGAAAUGCGUAGAUAUGUGGAGGAACACCGAUGGCGAAGGCAGCCCCCUGGGUCAAAACUGACGCUCAUGCACGAAAGCGUGGGGAGCAAACAGGAUUAGAUACCCGUG
rnacentral:rRNA from 1 species